rnacentral:rRNA from 1 species
UACGAAGGUGGCAAGCGUUGUUCGGAAUUAUUGGGCGUAAAGGGCGCGUAGGCGGCUUUGCAAGUGGCGGGUGAAAGCCCUCGGCUUAACCGAGGAACUGCCUGUCAGACUGUGAGGCUUGAGACCGGGAGAGGUGAGUGGAAUUCCCAGUGUAGCGGUGAAAUGCGCAGAUAUCAGGAGGAACACCGAUGGCGAAGGCAGGUCUCUGGGCUGUAACUGACGCUGAGGAGCGAAAGCAUGGGGAGCGAACAGG